AUGUAUGUAUGUGCAGAAAAAGAGAUGGGAACUAGAUGGUGUAUGUAUAUAAUGAUUGUGGAGCAUGCCGGGAAGAAGAACAUCUUUGGAUGUAUGGCCAUGGAUUUGAAGGAUAAAGGAGCAUUGUUUGUCUUUCUUGCUCAGCUUGGAAUACGGCGUGGUACGUAUUUGUCUGAUUGGCAGGGUUGGGACGCUGCCUGCAUGAUUGGCGUUCUUGAAGCUCUCUCGCCGUGGGAUGGGGGUUUGGGGUAUCCUAAGCUUAAAGCUGACCCAGAGAGGACAUCAUGUUGUUUGCUUAACGGGCAAGUACUCCACAUUCAGUCGCAAAAAGUCAAGAAGCAUUGUUUUCUUCUACUCACAACUGUUGGAAUCCACAUGAAAGAUGAGGAGGAAACUAAGAAAGAUGUAUAUAGAAUAAUGGGAAUAUGA
rnacentral:rRNA from 1 species